rnacentral:tRNA from 1 species
GGGCCGCUAGCUCAAUGGUAGAGCAAUUCCCUCUUAAGGAAUCGGUUCAGAGUUCGAGUCUCUGGCGGCUCA